rnacentral:tRNA from 1 species
CGGAGUGUAGCUCAGUUGGUAGAGUGCUUGACUAGCAUGUGCAAGUUUCUGAGUUCAAGUCCCAGCACUGCCU